rnacentral:lncRNA from 1 species
UAACACCAUGAUCUAACUCAGUUCCACAUUCUCCAGUAAAAACACCGCUAGAGUAGAACUGAAAAUCUGAUCCACUAGCAUCAAUGGCAACAGAUACAGGUUGUUUAGCAACGGCACUCAACAGAGCAGAUUCACUGUUGGCUGGGACAUCUUCGUAACCAGUAAUCUUGGCAACAUGGUUGGAUUCCUUUCCAGUUUUGCAAGUGCCAUCAGUUCCCUCGUAUGGAUAAUUUGAUUCUGUAGUAAGUCCAUGGUUCUUGAUGAUGAACGUAAAAGCAUCAUCCAUAAGACCUCCCUCACAUCCCAUAUCAGAACUUGUAUCGCAAUCCACAAGUUCUUGCUCAGAUAAAGAUAUUAACUUACCUGUUUUGAUCUUGUUGAUCCCCUCAGUAGCAGCAACAGCAGAAAAUGCCCAACAACAUCCUACAUUAUCAGCUUAAUAAGAUUUUCUUCUGUAGCAUAUACAUUAAAAAUAAUGUUAGUAUAUACAUGACCAAAUUACUUGACUUACCUUUAUUCUUCACUAUCCAAUACUUUUUCCCAUCACUAGUUUUUCCAUAUCCGAUUGCUGUAACACCAUGAUCUAAUUCAGUUCCACAUUCUCCAGUAAAAACACCGCUAGAGUAGAAUUGAAAGUCUGAUCCACUAGCAUCAAUGGCAACGGAUACAGGUUGGUUAGCAACAGCACUCAAUAAAGCAGAUUCACUGUUGGCUGGGACAUCUUCAUAGCCAGUAAUCUUAACAGCAUGGUUGGAUUCUUUUUCAGUUUU